UUUGAUUUAAGAGCUCAAGGACGUAGAGAGAGCUUCAAAAACAAUACGUAAGUAGUGCAACAAUAGAGUAGCAUUCCCAGUUAAAAAAUAAUCGUAAUUUAAUUUUAUAUAAUAGAUGUUACUACUGCUAAUGUAAAAUCUUUUAUAAAAUUCUAAACUCGUGCUACAGAUUGUAACUUGAACACUAUAGAGAAACGCAACGAUUUUAAGUACCGAACAGUGUACAACACGAGCAUGAUUAGCAUUUCAAGGGCUUUGGAAGAUAUGAAAAAAAAAGAGCCGCGCAUAUUCAACUCGCAAACAAAAAUGCCUCUCAAUUCUCAUUCAUGAAGUUACAUUCAAGCGCGAGAAAACUUGAAAAUAGUUAACUUCACAAUAGUUUCUAUAAGCCUAAGAAGUUUUCUAUAAGAACCAAAAUCCUUUCAAACAUCAAAGAAAUGGGGCACUAGCCAAAUAAACAAAUGGAAAACUACCUGCUUGAGAGGAAAUGUUGGCGCUUGACUGUGCUGCGAGUGUCCAAGCUCGUACGCUAGAACCGCAAUGAUCUCAUAGGUUUUGCAGCCUCGACUUUCCUUAAGCUUUGCAUCUAUACCUUAUUUUCUUCGACGGUGUCUUCGCUGCAUGGAGCUAGACAAAUAAUGGCGGAUGAAGCGAUUGAGAAGUUCGUAAUUAAGUUAAGUAUGAUCUAGCAAGUAUGACUGAUUCUGGGUGCAGCAAGAGAAGCCUUAAUUGACAUAAUGCAUCACUGACUAGGUAAAAUGUUUUUUUUUGCGUCGUAUUUAAAUUAACACUUAAACCCUGUUUAACUUUGAAUUUACACGUUGAUCAGGCUUUUGCAUCAAAAUUUACUAUCACUUUCUACAUUUAUUUAUUUUUUAAAUUAUUUUUCAUAAUAAACUUCAGAUAUUUUAUAAGCAAUAUCUGAUUUGUAAUAAUCUUUUCUAAGUCCACGAAUGGUUUGCUACAAACCGUCCCCGCAAUCUUAGUCGGCAAACAUGUUACACAAUUAGCAUAUUAGACUCACCAUACACUUGCCAUAUAUACUUGUUAAUAUACUACGGGCAUCAAAAUUUAAUUUUUUAAAUAAACCCUACUCAGCCUUAGACUUGUCUGUCUUCUCGAUCGCCUUCUUCUAGGACUCAGCGACGAGGGUGUCGGACAAUACUAUCCACUUGAACUUGAAUUUGCACAGAUACGCAAUUCUGCGAGGCGGUCUAAGCAAACCCUUGACAAUGCAGAGCUUGUUUAGAGGGAAAUUGAUACUCGAAGCGAAUGCCUCUGUACGAUUCUUGAGAUGGCCCUUCGACGGCGGCCUGUACUUGUUGAUCAAUUUGCUCCGGAUGAUUGUCAGGAGUAGAUUAAUACCGACGUAUCCAUGAAGCGAUAAUAUAUUAAAAAGAACCAAGAGGCACACAUCCGCCGAUAAAAAAUGACAGUUUUCUUUCUACGUCAGCGAUGCUCUGAGCAAGACCACCGAUGAUCAGGACCGAUGUCGUCGACUAUAGUGAUGUCUGGGAACUCUUCUCUACUAUUUGUCGUGCCUGUUACUUGACUAGCGCCGUACAUUGCUGAAUGCAGCAAAUGUAAAAAAAAUUAAUUGGAAAAAAGUAUUAUAAUCGCUUUAUAGGCGAUACAAUUUUAAUGGGUACCGUUAUAUUAAAUGGAAAAAAUAGUCGCAUUUUGUA